AGUGUGCAGAGUAAACGAGUAAAAAACGCUGCGCAGUCAUGUCUCCGGUUCUUUCUGCGCAUGCUCCGAACUUAAUGGUAUAAUAUGUGUUUUAUAGCAUAAUGAUGCAAACAACAGUAUUUACAUUCAUCACAUUACUGUGCUGGAAAGCAAUACAAAUUAAAUAAAAAAGAAGAAAAAGUGUAGAAGAAGAAAAGCAGGACAAAGACAGAGUAUUGGGUGACCUACGUUCCUGUGGUGGUGAACAUGACUGCGAGUUCUCCAGAAGAACAAAUGCUGUAUUAUUACAGUGCUCCAGUACAUGUGGUGCCUCCUCAGCAGUACUCAGUCCAUCCCACAGGAUUCAAUACAUGCUACACUCUACUCCCUGAACCUACUACCCCAACAAAUGUGUCGGCUGCAGGGAUGUUCUACUAUAAUGAUCAGGCCGUGUACAACCAGACUCCAUUCCCAAUGGUCCCUCCACUGCAGCAACAUCCAUCUACCAAGAGGAAGAGGAAAC